AGCUUUUCCAUCUUGGAGUAUGUACUGGGGAUUAUUGCCAAGCCUUGUAGGGGUAUGAAAGAACAACAAAGGAAUUCCAUGAAUUGUUAUGGGCUGUGGAUAUAUCCAGUUCUGCUUACUAAUUUUAAAAAAAAAUUCAUUCUGCAUAUAUGUACGCACGGCGAAGUCCAAACCGCUCCUUUCGGAUGUGCGGAGAAGAGCCCGCAAAUCGGAGAAAAGCCGCCGGCUGCCGUCGCACUUUUUCUCGGGUACGGUUUAACAAGACACCGCGGCUGGAGGCUGAAAGCGGCAGUCGGCGAUAAUUCGCUUCUCGGGCAGUAACGGCAAACGCUCCGGAGCAGUUCACCGCGAGUGCCACUUCCGAGCCGGGAGAGCGAAGCUGUGCCGUUCUGAAGCCGAGAGCGUCCGAAUUCAGCCUGCUGCCUUUCCUCCGGAGGGGGUUAUUUUCUCCGCACUGCAGAAAGGAUCUCUCCCGACUUCUUCCAAUGCGCUCCCUGAGAACACAGCAUCUGUCGCUCCUCGAAUCUCCAGCUGCCUCGUUAAGAGAGGCUUUUCCCUCCUACCCUUGGGGUCACAGAACACAGAAGUGGAGCCACAGAGAACCACACCAAAAAGAGUUGUCGCUCGAAAUGAAGGCACGGACACAACAUUCAGAGCCAGGCGUAGUUCAUCGUGCAUAUAUGUACGCACGGCGAAGUCCAAACCGCUCCUUUCGGAUGUGCGGAGAAGAGCCCGCAAAUCAGAGAAAAGCCGCCUGCUGCCGUCGCACUUUUUCUCGGGUACGGUUUAACAAGACACCGCGGCUGGAGGCUGAAAGCGGCAGUCGGCGAUAAUUCGCUUCUCGGGCAGUAACGGCAAACGCUCCGGAGCAGUUCACCGCGAGUGCCACUUCCGAGCCGGGAGAGCGAAGCUGUGCCGUUCUGAAGCCGAGAGCGUCUGAAUUCAGCCUGCUGCCUUUCCUCCGGAGGGGGUUAUUUUCUCCGCACUGCAGAAAGGAUCUCUCCCGACUUCUUCCAAUGCGCUCCCUGAGAGCACAGCAUCUGUCGCUCCUCGAAUCUCCAGCUGCCUCUUUAAGAGAGGCUUUUCCCUCCUACCCUUGUGGUCACAGAACACUGAAGGGAACCACAGAGAACCACACCAAAAAGAGUUGUCGCUCGAAAUGAAGGCACGGACACAACAUUCAGAGCCAGGCGUAGUUCAUCGUGCAUAUAUGUACGCACGGCGAAGUCCAAACCGCUCCUUUCGGAUGUGCGGAGAAGAGCCCGCAAAUCGGAGAAAAGCCGCCGGCUGCCGUCGCACUUUUUCUCGGGUACGGUUUAACAAGACACCGCGGCUGGAGGCUGAAAGCGGCAGUCGGCGAUAAUUCGCUUCUCGGGCAGUAACGGCAAACGCUCCGGAGCAGUUCACCGCGAGUGCCACUUCCGAGCCGGGAGAGCGAAGCUGUGCCGUUCUGAAGCCGAGAGCGUCCGAAUUCAGCCUGCUGCCUUUCCUCCGGAGGGGGUUAUUUUCUCCGCACUGCAGAAAGGAUCUCUCCCGACUUCUUCCAAUGCGCUCCCUGAGAACACAGCAUCUGUCGCUCCUCGAAUCUCCAGCUGCCUCGUUAAGAGAGGCUUUUCCCUCCUACCCUUGUGGUCACAGAACACAGAAGUGGAGCCACAGAGAACCACACCAAAAAGAGUUGUCGCUCGAAAUGAAGGCACGGACACAACAUUCAGAGCCAGGCGUAGUUCAUCAUGCAUAUAUGUACGCACGGCGAAGUCCAAACCGCUCCUUUCGGAUGUGCGGAGAAGAGCCCGCAAAUCGGAGAAAAGCCGCCGGCUGCCGUCGCACUUUUUCUCGGGUACGGUUUAACAAGACACCGCGGCUGGAGGCUGAAAGCGGCAGUCGGCGAUAAUUCGCUUCUCGGGCAGUAACGGCAAACGCUCCGGAGCAGUUCACCGCGAGUGCCACUUCCGAGCCGGGAGAGCGAAGCUGUGCCGUUCUGAAGCCGAGAGCGUCCGAAUUCAGCCUGCUGCCUUUCCUCCGGAGGGGGUUAUUUUCUCCGCACUGCAGAAAGGAUCUCUCCCGACUUCUUCCAAUGCGCUCCCUGAGAACACAGCAUCUGUCGCUCCUCGAAUCUCCAGCUGCCUCUUUAAGAGAGGCUUUUCCCUCCUACCCUUGUGGUCACAGAACACUGAAGGGAACCACAGAGAACCACACCAAAAAGAGUUGUCGCUCGAAAUGAAGGCACGGACACAACAUUCAGAGCCCGGCGUAGUUCAUCGUGCAUAUAUGUACGCACGGCGAAGUCCAAACCGCUCCUUUCGGAUGUGCGGAGAAGAGCCCGCAAAUCGGAGAAAAGCCGCCGGCUGCCGUCGCACUUUUUCUCGGGUACGGUUUAACAAGGCACCGCGGCUGGAGGCUGAAAGCGGCAGUCGGCGAUAAUUCGCUUCUCGGGCAGUAACGGCAAACGCUCCGGAGCAGUUCACCGCGAGUGCCACUUCCGAGCCGGGAGAGCGAAGCUGUGCCGUUCUGAAGCCGAGAGCGUCCGAAUUCAGCCUGCUGCCUUUCCUCCGGAGGGGGUUAUUUUCUCCCCACUCCAGAAAGGAUCUCUCCCGACUUGUUCCAAUGUGCCUCCCGAGAACACAGCAUCUGUCGCUCCUCGAAUCUCCAGCUGCCUCUUUAAGAGAGGCUUUUCCCUUCUACCCCUUGUGGUCACAGAACACAGAAGUAUAGCCACAGACAACCACACCAAAAAGAAUUGUCGCUCGAAAUGAAGGCACGGACACAACAUUCAGAGCCA